AACGCGAAGAACCUUACCCAGGUUUGACAUCCUUGGAAUUUCUGCGAAAGCAGAGAGUGCUUUAUUGAGCCAAGUGACAGGUGAUGCAUGGCCGUCGUCAGCUCGUGUCGUGAGAUGUUUGGUUAAGUCCAUCAACGAGCGCAACCCUUGUAGUUAGUUGAAUUUUUCUAACUAGACUGCCCUGGUAACAGGGAGGAAGGAGGGGAUGAUGUCAGGUCCGUAUUUCCCUUACAUCUGGGGCUACAAACACGCUACAAUGGCCGGUACAAAGGGCAGCCAAGUCGCGAGACGGAGCAAAUCCCAUCAAAGCCGGUCUCAGUUCGGAUAGCAGGCUGAAACUCGCCUGCUUGAAGUCGGAAUCGCUAGUAACGGUAGGUCAGCUAUACUACCGUGAAUACGUUCCCGGGCCUUGUA
rnacentral:rRNA from 1 species